rnacentral:rRNA from 1 species
UACGCAGGCGGCUUUGUAAGUCAGAUGUGAAAGACUAUGGUUUAACUGUGGUAAGCAUUUGAAACUACAGAGCUUGAGUACAGGAUGGGAGAGUGGAAUUCCUAGUGUAGCGGUGAAAUGCGUAGAUAUUAGGAGGAAUACCAGUGGCGAAGGCGACUCUCUGGACUGUAACUGACGCUGAGGUACGAAAGCAUGGGGAGCAAACAGGAUUAGAUACCCUGGUAGUCCAUGCUAUAAACGAUGAGUGCUAGGUGUUGGGAGGGACACCUCUCGGUGCCGAAGUUAACACAUUAAGCACUCCGCCUGGGGAGUACGGUCGCAAGACUGAAACUCAAAGGAAUUGACGGGGACCCGCACAAGCAGCGGAGCAUGUGGUUUAAUUCGAUGCAACGCGAAGAACCUUACCAGGACUUGACAUCCUUCAGCCAGGGCUAGAGAUAGUCCCCUUCCCUUCGGGGACUGAGGAGACAGGUGGUGCAUGGUUGUCGUCAGCUCGUGUCGUGAGAUGUUGGGUUAAGUCCCGCAACGAGCGCAACCCUUGUC